rnacentral:rRNA from 1 species
AGAGUUUGAUCCUGGCUCAGAGCGAACGUUAGCGGCGUGCCUAAUACAUGCAAGUCGAGCGAAUCAAUAGGAGCUUGCUCCUGUUGGUUAGCGGCGGACGGGUGAGUAACACGUGGGCAACCUGCCUGUAAGACUGGGAUAACACCGGGAAACCGGUGCUAAUACCGGAUAAUCCUUUUCCUUUCAUGAGGAAAAGCUGAAAGUUGGUUUCGGCUGACACUUACAGAUGGGCCCGCGGCGCAUUAGCUAGUUGGUGAGGUAAUGGCUCACCAAGGCAACGAUGCGUAGCCGACCUGAGAGGGUGAUCGGCCACACUGGGACUGAGACACGGCCCAGACUCCUACGGGAGGCAGCAGUAGGGAAUCUUCCACAAUGGACGAAAGUCUGAUGGAGCAACGCCGCGUGAGCGAUGAAGGCCUUCGGGUCGUAAAGCUCUGUUGUUAGGGAAGAACAAGUACCGGAGUAACUGCCGGUACCUUGACGGUACCUAACCAGAAAGCCACGGCUAACUACGUGCCAGCAGCCGCGGUAAUACGUAGGUGGCAAGCGUUGUCCGGAAUUAUUGGGCGUAAAGCGCGCGCAGGCGGUCCUUUAAGUCUGAUGUGAAAGUCAAAGGCUCAACCUUUGAAUGUCAGCGGAUACUGCCGGGCUAGAGUCCGGAAGAGGCGAGUGGAACUCCUGGUGUAGCGGUGGAAUGCGCAGAUAUCAGGAAGAACACCAACGGCGAAGGCAGCUCGCUGGGACGGAACUGACGCUAAGGCGCGAAAGCGUGGGGAGCGAACAGGAUUAGAUACCCUGGUAGUCCACGCCGUAAACGAUGGGCACUAGGUGUGGGAGGUGUCGACUCCUCCCGUGCCGGCGCUAACGCAUUAAGUGCCCCGCCUGGGGAGUACGGCCGCAAGGCUAAAACUCAAAGGAAUUGACGG